AUGCUCACUUCUGGAUCACAUAUCCUAAAAUUGGAACAAUAUAGAGAAGAUUAGCAUGAACUUUGCUCAAGGAUGACAUGCAAAUUCAUGAAAAAAUUCUUAUUGUU